GUGAUCUUUGCUCUGGUGCUGCCAUUAGCCUGAUAGAGACACUCUCAGAGCUACAAAGAACUCUGGCUCUUUCCACUCAGACCUCCUGAUGAUUCUUGAUCAAGAGAAUAGCCAUCUUGACUCCUACCUCACAUCCUAUGAUCAGAGGAAUCUCCUAGGCUCCCCAUCUGCCAUCACAGCACUCAGGGAAGCCCUGCUCCUACCAGGGGGAGAGAGUGAAGACAGUCUAGAAGGGGUUAUGGAAGAACACCACCCCACCCCCAAGGAGAGCAGCAGAGGAUCAGGAACCCAUGCGAGAAGGUGGGCUUCCGUAUGAACACUUCUCUGUGUCCUCUCCCAUUCUUUGUUUACUCAUUCCAAUAACAGAAAGCAUAGCAAAUACACAUAAGGGCAGUUUCUCCCCAUCUUUCUAAGGUUGGAUACCACCUAGCUGACCUUGAUUCUAUCCCCGCCUCAAGAACUUUGAUCAUUAAUUACCCUCCCAUCCUCUGUACUUCCAGCCCACACCUUCCAUUAAUACUUUCCUCUUGGUCUCCAAGAAAGCCCAAGAGAUCUCAUUCUCCUUCCUCAAUUCUGCUCUCCCCUCCAGUUUCUAAUCAUCUGGUUCUAUGUUUCACUGCCAAGCUGUUAGGAAGACUGGUCUACAGGCAAAGAUUUCAUUUCUUUCCUGCUCACUUGUUCUGCAAAUGUUUACAAUCAGUCUUUUGAUACCAUGACGCUGGUAUAUUCUUCUCUCAAAAGCCAUCAUUGCUCUCCUAGUUUCCACAUCUGGUGAAUUGAGUCCUUCACUUCUUUUGCAAUAAUUGACUUCCAUUUUCC
rnacentral:lncRNA from 1 species